rnacentral:rRNA from 1 species
AUUGAACGCUGGCGGCAUGCCUUACACAUGCAAGUCGAACGGUAACAGGUCUUCGGAUGCUGACGAGUGGCGAACGGGUGAGUAAUACAUCGGAACGUGCCCGAUCGUGGGGGAUAACGAGGCGAAAGCUUUGCUAAUACCGCAUACGAUCUACGGAUGAAAGCGGAGGAUCUUCGGACCUCGCGCGGACGGAGCGGCCGAUGGCAGAUUAGGUAGUUGGUGGGAUAAAAGCUUACCAAGCCGACGAUCUGUAGCUGGUCUGAGAGGAUGAUCAGCCACACUGGGACUGAGACACGGCCCAGACUCCUACGGGAGGCAGCAGUGGGGAAUUUUGGACAAUGGGCGAAAGCCUGAUCCAGCCAUGCCGCGUGCAGGAUGAAGGCCUUCGGGUUGUAAACUGCUUUUGUACGGAACGAAAAGCCUCUUUCUAAUAAAGAGGGGUCAUGACGGUACCGUAAGAAUAAGCACCGGCUAACUACGUG